AUAUUGGACAAUGGGGGCAACACUGAUCCAGCCAUGCCGCGUGUGUGAAGAAGGUCUUCGGAUUGUAAAGCACUUUAAGUUGGGAGGAAGGGCUUUAGGUUAAUACACUGAAGUUUUGACGUUACCAACAGAAUAAGCACCGGCUAACUCUGUGCCAGCAGCCGCGGUAAUACAGAGGGUGCAAGCGGUAAUCGGAAUUACUGGGCGUAAAGCGCGCGUAGGUUGUUCCGUAAGAUGGGGUUGAAAUCCCCGGGCUUAACCUGGGAACUGUUUUCAUUACUUCUGAGCUAGAGUACGGUAGAGGGUAGUGGAAUUUCCUGUUUAGCGGUGAAAUGCGUAGAUAUAGGAAGGAACACCAGUGGCGAAGGCGACUACCUGGACUGAUACUGACACUGAGGUGCGAAAGCGUGGGGAGCAAACA
rnacentral:rRNA from 1 species